AUAAGCACGUCAAGGGCCAGCAUGAUGCAAUAAAAUUUCUGUUUACAUUUUUUGUGCAGUUUGGGUUGUAUUUUGUAGGCAGUUUAUUCUGCUUAAUUCUGGUAAAUAUGUUAUAAUUGAACGUGUCGUCAGGUGAAAGCCGACAGAUUUGAAUUGUGAUUCGGCAGGAGUGAUAGUUUUUCCUUAUAUAGGCGACUAAUAUGCAUGGCCGAUAAGAAAAUCAUCCUGGUCUACAAGCGGCCUGAAUAGCAGAACAAACAGGUCGAACCUACAGUCAACGACAUCCUUCAUCUAGAUUCAGGUCCCGAUCGCAAUCUCGACGUCGCACAACGUAUGACAAAGAUGGGUCAAAUGUUAGCGAUGAUGUGAAUGAUCUCAUGAUGGCUUGGUUGCUGCUGCUGCUACUCGAAAAGCCACGCAAAUGGCAAGUACAAACAGCGCGGAACAACAGGACAAAAAAGAUGACAUUACUGCACAGUUAUUCUUGGAAAGUGCUUUAAGACAUCCUGGAUCAGGCCAGAACUGAAGCUGAUGCCGAUAUUCUUGCGAACUUGUGUGCAGCUGGUGUCACGGCCGGUGGUAGUCUGGCUGUCUCUACCCCAAAAAGGGCCUAGUGAACGAAGUUGUGUCCUAGUGGAUUGAUGUGUGAUUGUAGCGAACAGAGUUGUCCGUAUCCUCUGUGCGGUGAAGAGAAAUUCCAAUUUCACCUCACACUCUUCGAACUGUAACGAGAGCGCUUCUCUUUUGUCCGUGCUCACCACGCUUUUUGUGUACGUGCGCGACAAUGAGUGUGAAAAAAACAAAUAAAAAACUCUCAACGCUGGGCUGCGCUACAGCGUAGAAAACUACUCCCAAAUUCACCAAGGCGAAUGAAGAUAAACUCACCGACGCGCGCUCCAGUGAGAUUUCUAGCGUUGCAGAGCUAGCUGCACGAAAGUUUCAAACUAAUGUAUUCAUUAUUGCCGGUUGAUAAUUUUUUACUAAAAACAUUUUUAUUUAGCAUUUUACGCGCCGUAAUAGCAGACAUGAA